GGCUUGGUUUCUUUUUAUGAAAGUUUGAUUCUAGCUUAUUAAAUUUGCUUUUUAAUAAUUGUACAUGUAUAUUUUUGUGAGUUAGGUUUAUUUCUAAAUGAGUAGUAAUUUGAUUCUCAGUUCUUAAUUUUAUAUAUUACAGGAAUGUAGAUUUAGUUAAUUUGAUGAAUUCUGACCAAUAUUGUGCCAGCAGUCGCGGUUACACAAUAGGAGUGAGUGAAUUUUUUUUGGUUUGUAUUUAUUUUUGUUUUUCUAUUCAAAGUGUUAAUCUUAUGGUGAAAUUUAGAUUUUUUGUUGAGUAGGUUAUGAGAUUUAAAUAUGAAAGUUUAUUGUGAAACUGGGAUUAGAGACCCCAUUAUCAUGAACAGUAAUUCGGUAAUCUUAGUAUUAAUAGUUAUGAUCUUUAAAUUAAAAGAAUUUGGCGGUAAUCUAGUCUGUUCAGAGGAAUCUGCCCUGUAAUUGAUAUUCCACGAUGAAUUUUACUUUAUCUAUGCUUGUAUAUCUCUGUCAUUGAAUGUCCUAUUAGGGUAUUUUCUUUAAUCUUUAAUGUGUAAGAUGUCAGGUCAAGGUGCAGCGAUGGUAAAGAAGAGGUGGAUUACAUUAAAUUUAUUUAUGGAUAGUGAAUAUGGAAAUUUUCUUGAAAUUGGAUUUGAAAGUAAUUUCUAUUAGAAUAUAGAUUUGAUUUUAGCUCUAGAUUAUGCACAUAUCGCCCGUCACUCUCGUUUAUUUAAAAUGAGAUAAGUCGUAACAAAGUAGAUUUACUGGAAGGUGAAUCUGGUAUAAAAAUAU
rnacentral:ncRNA from 1 species